rnacentral:rRNA from 1 species
AUUGAACGCUGGCGGCAGGCCUAACACAUGCAAGUCGAGCGAGAGGCGGACGGGUGAGUAAUGCCUGGGAAACUGCCUGAUGGCGGGGGAUAACUACUGGAAACGGUAGCUAAUACCGCAUACCCUCAGAUGUUCCCAGAUGGGAUUAGCUAGUGGGUGGGGUAACGGCUCACCUAGGCGACGAUCCCUAGCUGGUCUGAGAGGAUGAGCAGCCAAACGGGAACGGGGACACGGUCCAGACUCCUACGGUGGGCAGCAGGGGGGAAUAUUGGACAAUGGGCGAAAUCCUGAGGCAGCAAGGCCGCGUGUGUGAAGAAGGCCUUCGGGUUGGAAGGCACUUUCAGCGGGGAGGCGUUACCCGCAGAAUAAGCACCGGCUAACUUCGUGCCAGCAGCCGCGGUAAUAC